rnacentral:rRNA from 1 species
GAUGAACGCUAGCGACAGGCUUAACACAUGCAAGUCGAGGGGCAGCGGGGGAGCAGCAAUGCUCCUGCCGGCGACCGGCGCACGGGUGAGUAACACGUAUGGAACCUGCCCGCAGCAGGGGGAUAAGCGGAAGAAAUUCCGUCUAAUACCGCGUAACACCGCGGAGGGGCAUCCCUCGGCGGUUAAAGAUUCAUCGGCUGCGGAUGGCCAUGCGGCGCAUUAGCUAGUCGGCGGGGUAACGGCCCACCGAGGCGACGAUGCGUAGGGGUUCCGAGAGGAAGGUCCCCCACACUGGUACUGAGACACGGACCAGACUCCUACGGGAGGCAGCAGUGAGGAAUAUUGGUCAAUGGCCGGGAGGCUGAACCAUCCAAGUCGCGUGAGGGAAGACGGCCCUACUGGUUGUAAACCUCUUUUGUCAGGGAGCAAGAGGCGGGUCGGGACCUGCUGUGAGAGUACCCGAAGAAAAAGCAUCGGCUAACUCCGUGCCUUCAGCCGCGGUAAUACUGAGGAUGCGACCGUUAUCCGGAUUUAUUGGGAUUAAAGGGUGCGCAGCGGACGCACAAGUCAGCGGUAAAUCGCGGGGCUCCCUCCGCUCCGCCGUUGAAACUGUGUCCCUUGAGUGCGCGAAGGGUAGGCGGAAUGCGUGGUGUAGCGGUGAAAUGCAUAAAUAUCACGCAGAACUCCGAUCGCGAAGGCAGCCUACCGGCGCGCAACUGACGCUCAUGCACGAAAGCGUGGGUAUCGAACAGGAUUAGAUACCCUGGUAGUCCACGCAGUAAACGAUGAAUGCUAUCUGUCCGGCCGGAAUGACGGCUGGGUGGCACAGCGAAAGCGUUAAGCAUUCCACCUGGGGAGUACGCCGGCAACGGUGAAACUCAAAGGAAUUGACGGGGGCCCGCACAAGCGGAGGAACAUGUGGUUUAAUUCGAUGAUACGCGAGGAACCUUACCCGGACUCAAACGACGCAGGGAUGUAUGUGAAAGCAUACAGUCCUUUCAGGACCUGUGUCGAGGUGCUGCAUGGUUGUCGUCAGCUCGUGCCGUGAGGUGUCGGCUUAAGUGCCAUAACGAGCGCAACCCCCAUCUUCAGUUGCCAUCAGGUAGAGCUGGGCACUCUGGAGAGACUGCCGGCGCAAGCUGCGAGGAAGGCGGGGAUGACGUCAAAUCAGCACGGCCCUUACGUCCGGGGCGACACACGUGUUACAAUGGCAGGUACAGCGGGAAGCCAGGCGGCGACGCCGAGCGGAACCCGAAAACCUGUCUCAGUUCGGAUCGGAGUCUGCAACCCGACUCCGUGAAGCUGGAUUCGCUAGUAAUCGCGCAUCAGCCAUGGCGCGGUGAAUACGUUCCCGGGCCU